GUAGGGAAUAUUGGACAAUGGGGGCAACCCUGAUCCAGCGACGCCGCGUGAGUGACGAAGGCCUUCGGGUCGUAAAGCUCUGUUGCAAGGGAAAAACAAAAUGAUGGUACCUUGCUAGAAAGGAUCGGCUAACUUCGUGCCAGCAGCCGCGGUAAGACGAGGGAUCCUAGCGUUGUUCGGAAUUAUUGGGCGUAAAGCGGGUGUAGGUGGCUUUGUAAGUCAGGUGUGAAAGCCUGGGGCUUAACCCCAGAAGUGCAUUUGAUACUGCGAAGCUUGAGUGCUGGAGAGGCUACUAGAAUUCUUGGUGUAGUGGUGAAAUACGUAGAUAUCAAGAGGAAUACCGGAGGCGAAGGCGGGUAGCUGGCCAGACACUGACACUCAGACCCGAAAGCGUGGGGAUCAAACAGGAUUAGAAACCCCUGUAGUCC
rnacentral:rRNA from 1 species